AACGAACGCUGGCGGCAGGCUUAACACAUGCAAGUCGAACGCCUGUAGCGGUACAGGAGUGGCAGACGGGUGAGUAACACGUGGGAACGUGCCCAAAGGUACGGAACAACUCCGGGAAACUGGAGCUAAUACCGUAUGUGCCCGAAAGGGGAACGAUUUAUCGCCUUUGGAUCGGCCCGCGUCUGAUUAGCUAGUUGGUGGGGUAUUGGCCUACCAACGCGACGAUCAGUAGCUGGUCUGAGAGGAUGGACAGCCACCCUGGGACUGAGACACGGCCCAGACUCCUACGGGAGGCAGCAGGGAGGAAUAUUGGACAAUGGGCGCAAGCCUGAUCCAGCCAUGCCGCGUGAGUGAUGAAGGCCUUAGGGUUGUAAAGCUCUUGCGCCAGGGACGAUAAUGACGGUACCGGGAUAAGAAGCACCGGCUAACUUCGUGCCAGCCGUCGCCGUAA
rnacentral:rRNA from 1 species